rnacentral:rRNA from 1 species
GCCCUACGGGACGCAGCAGUGAGGAAUAUUGGUCAAUGGGCGGGAGCCUGAACCAGCCAAGUCGCGUGAGGGAAGACGGUCCUAUGGAUUGUAAACCUCUUUUGUCGGGGAGCAAGACCCGCCACGAGUGGCGGAGCGAGAGUACCCGAAGAAAAAGCAUCGGCUAACUCCGUGCCAGCAGCCGCGGUAAUACGGAGGAUGCGAGCGUUAUCCGGAUUUAUUGGGUUUAAAGGGUGCGCAGGCGGACCAUCAAGUCAGCGGUAAAAUCGUGGGGCCCAACCCCAUCCCGCCGUUGAAACUGGCGG